rnacentral:lncRNA from 1 species
AGGGUCUCUCCCUCUGCUGUUCCUUCUGCUGCGUCCCAAGCUCGAGGCUGGCUGGCCUAGCUUCUCUGGACACUUCUGUUUCUAGCUGCCCUCCUGCCGGAGGAGUGUGAGGAUUGGAGAUGCAGCUCUGUCACCGAAUGCUUGCGUCUAAGAGCAUACUGCCUGAAGAUGACUUCACCUAGCUAACCAUAGAAGGGUGAGUGCCACAUACAACCAGUUGACAUUUCUCUAAUAACUCAGGACCAUAUACAAGAAAAUAAAGCAUGUCUUCUCGUUGUUUGGGAGACUACACAAUUCGAAGUAUCCCUUGUUCAAAAGGAAGAAGAACACUGUCCCUAAAGAAAGUCAAAUGUUCCUUAAGAACCAGAUUAUUUUAUAUUGGCAAGAACGAUUAAAAUACACUGAUUGGAAAAUGCUGUCCACUUUUCUGUCUCCCAGUUUGGAGUCACUAGCUCUUUGGUGCAUU